rnacentral:lncRNA from 1 species
AUUUGAGUGUGAGGGACUUGGCCACUUCGUGUGUUCUUGCCAUUGCAUUAGUUGCAUCGGUUUGAGUUCUCCACGGUGAUACGUGGAAGUGAAGUUUGGGAAGCUUAUUAUCUUUUGGUAGUUAGUACCCUAGAGAUUGUUCUUCGUGGAUGCUUUGGCGUCCUAGAAGCUUGGUGGUGCCUCAAAGCUCAAUCAUUGUGGUGUAAAGCUCUGGGCAAGCGUUGGGGUCACCAAUUAGGAUGUGGAGGUUGCCUCGAGCAAUUUGUACGGGUAUCGGUGACCGCCCCUAAGGGUUACCAUUUGUACGGGUUCGGUGACCGUCCUCAA